UACGGAGGGGGCUAGCGUUGUUCGGAAUUACUGGGCGUAAAGCGCGCGUAGGCGGACCUGCAAGUCGGGGGUGAAAGCCCGAGGCUCAACCUCGGAACUGCCUUCGAUACUGCGGGUCUCGAGUCCGGGAGAGGUGAGUGGAAUUCCUAGUGUAGAGGUGGAAUUCGUAGAUAUUAGGAAGAACACCAGUGGCGAAGGCGGCUCACUGGCCCGGUACUGACGCUGAGGCGCGACAGCGUGGGGAGCGAACAGG
rnacentral:rRNA from 1 species